AGUGAACGCUGGCGGUAGGCCUAACACAUGCAAGUCGAACGGCAGCACAGUAAGAGCUUGCUCUUACGGGUGGCGAGUGGCGGACGGGUGAGGAAUACAUCGGAAUCUACUUUUUCGUGGGUGAUAACGUAGGGAAACUUACGCUAAUACCGCAUACGACCUACGGGUGAAAGCAGGGGAUCUUCGCACCUUGCGCGAUUGUAUGAGCCGAUGUCGGAUUAGCUAGUUGGCGGGGUAAAGGCCCACCAAGGCGACGAUCCGUAGCUGGUCUGAGAGGAUGAUCAGCCACACUGGAACUGAGACACGGUCCAGACUCCUACGGGAGGCAGCAGUGGGGAAUAUUGGACAAUGGGCGCAAGCCUGAUCCAGCCAUGCCGCGUGGGUGAAGAAGGCCUUCGGGUUGUAAAGCCCUUUUGUUGGGAAAGAAAAGCAGCAGGUUAAUACCCCGCUGUUCUGACGGUACCCAAAGAAUAAGCACCGGCUAACUUCGUG
rnacentral:rRNA from 1 species